CCUAGGUGACAGAGCAAGACUCGUUUCCAAAAAAAAAUUAAUUUUAAUUUUAAAAAUUAAUAAGUCAACUAAGUCAGCUAAUCAGCAUGACUAUGUAAGUUCAUUUUCUCUUUUCAGGCACUAGAUUGUGGUUCCCACUGGGAAAAUACAAUACUGCGGAGGAUGGAAUAUUCAUCUGUACUGAGUGUGGAAAAGAAUUUGGCAUGAUAAUAAGCAGCCUGAUUUGGGACACAUGUAAGGCACAAGCAUAAAGCAAGAAGAUAGUUUCUGCAAACCAGGAAGGAGGCCCUCAUCAGGAACCAAAACUUGAUCUUGAUCUUGGACUUCUCAGCCCC